rnacentral:rRNA from 1 species
CAUGGCUCAGAUUGAACGCUGGCGGCAGGCCUAACACAUGCAAGUCGAACGGUAACAGGAAGAAGCUUGCUUCUUUGCUGACGAGUGGCGGACGGGUGAGUAAUGUCUGGGAAACUGCCUGAUGGAGGGGGAUAACUACUGGAAACGGUAGCUAAUACCGCAUAACGUCGCAAGACCAAAGAGGGGGACCUUCGGGCCUCUUGCCAUCGGAUGUGCCCAGAUGGGAUUAGCUAGUAGGUGGGGUAACGGCUCACCUAGGCGACGAUCCCUAGCUGGUCUGAGAGGAUGACCAGCCACACUGGAACUGAGACACGGUCCAGACUCCUACGGGAGGCAGCAGUGGG